CUAUAUGGCUUCUAGCAGUAAUCAGUUCUGCCAGUUAGCAAAAGAAACCAAAGAAUCAAGAAAAGCAGACUUACUUCCUGCUUUUUAAAUGCAUAUCUACCAGCUUUAUCAUAUAUAAGUUACAGUUUUUAACUUUAAUGUCAAGUUCAGUCAGAAGAAGGACAUGAAGAUCCAUUAUCUGAUGAGCUUGUAAACUCAAAUUUGGAAAGUUAUUUCAAAAGUGCUGGUCAAGGACGAAAUAUACAGAUGAGACAAACACAGAACAACCAUGCUUUGGAGAACACCUUAGGCUCAAACAUGAUGUAGGAAUUUAACAGGAGGACUCCCCAAGCAACUUAAUUUAACACCUAACAAUCAUCUCCUUUGUCUAAGGCAAGGAGUACCAUCCACAGAAAGAAAGGAGAAAGAAAAGACAGUCCAGCAAGAUAAAGACAAAGCCUUCUGCAG